rnacentral:ncRNA from 1 species
UACAGGGGUGCUUUCCUGGAGCCAGAGGGAAGGCUGAGAACAAACCCUUGGAACCUGAUCUGGAUAAUGCCAGCGAAGGGAGGCAUGA